UUUCGUUCCCCGCCAUGAUUGGAGGCGGAUGUGUUGCGGGUGCUCCGGAUUUUGGUACCGGUGAGUGAGGUUCUAGAGGUUUGUAACUGCUGAAUCUAAUAUUGUAACUUCUCAAUUGAAUUUAUGUGAUGAAUAUUCGUUUUUGUUGUAUAACUUUAAUGUGAAAACCGGUUUACAUGAGCUGAUAUGUUCGAUUCUCCGGGACAGUGGCUCGGUUGCCCCCGAUUCGGGGAGGACAAGCUGUGGAGCUUGUUUGUGGAGGCUGCCCUGGUGGCCUCGUGAGUUCGGUCGCCGUGGUCGUUUGGCAGCGCGCCAGAGACGGGAUAAGCCGUAACAAUCGAAUGAUCGAAGACGGGAUCCAGAGCGGUCCAAUACAGAUCUGUCCACG